AACGAACGCUGGCGGCAGGCCUAACACAUGCAAGUCGAACGCCCCGCAAGGGGAGUGGCCGACGGGUGAGUAACACGUGGGAACCUUCCCUAUAGUACGUAAUAGCCCAGGGAAACUUGGAGUAAUACCGUAUACGCCCGAAAGGGGAAAGAAUUUCGCUAUAGGAUGGGCCCGCGUAGGAUUAGCUAGUUGGUGAGGUAAUGGCUCACCAAGGCGACGAUCCUUAGCUGGUUUGAGAGAACGACCAGCCACACUGGGACUGAGACACGGCCCAGACUCCUACGGGAGGCAGCAGUGGGGAAUAUUGGACAAUGGGCGCAAGCCUGAUCCAGCCAUGCCGGGUGAGUGAUGAAGGCCUUAGGGUUGUAAAGCGCUUUUGGCGGGGACGAUAAUGACGGUACCCGCAGAAUAAGUCCCGGCUAACUUCGUG
rnacentral:rRNA from 1 species